rnacentral:rRNA from 1 species
AAGGAUGUAGUUAGGUUUAGUAGGCAAAUCCGCUAGACUAUUAAUGAGAUCUGAUAGCAAGCUGUACUUGUACAGCGAAGUGGCAAAUACCCUGCUUCCAGGAAAAGCUUCUAAGCGAUAGUCAUAAAGAAAUCGUACCCUAAACCGACACAGGUGGUCAGGUAGAGAAUACCAAGGCGCUUGAGAGAACUCUGCUGAAGGAACUAGGCGAAAUGGUACCGUAACUUCGGGAGAAGGUACGCUGCCGAUGGUGAGUAGUCAUGCACUACAAAGCUAUUGGCAGUCGCAGAUACCAGGCCGCUGCAACUGUUUAUUAAAAACACAGCACUCUGCAAACACGAAAGUGGACGUAUAGGGUGUGAUGCCUGCCCGGUGCUGGAAGGUUAAUUGAUGGGGUUAGCGUAAGCGAAGCUCUUGAUCGAAGCCCCAGUAAACGGCGGCCGUAACAAUAACGGUCCUAAGGUAGCGAAAUUCCUUGUCGGGUAAGUUCCGACCUGCACGAAUGGCAUAAUGAUGGCGGCGCUGUCUCCAGCAGAGACUCAGUGAAAUCGAAAUCGCAGUGAAGAUGCUGUGUACCCGCGGCUAGACGGAAAGACCCCGUGAACCUUUACUACAGCUUUACAUCGAACUUUGACCUUACCUGUGUAGGAUAGGUGGGAGGCUUUGAAGCAGGCACGCCAGUGUCUGUGGAGCCAUCUUGAAAUACCACCCUGAUAAUGUUGGGGUUCUAACUCAAGCUUAACAGAGCUGAGGACAAUGUAUGGUGGGUAGUUUGACUGGGGCGGUCUCCUCCUAAAGAGUAACGGAGGAGUACGAAGGUGCGCUCAGAGCGGUCGGAAAUCGUUCGAAGAGUAUAAAGGCAAAAGCGCGCUUAACUGCGAGACCCACAAGUCGAGCAGAUACGAAAGUAGGUCUUAGUGAUCCGGUGGUUCUGUAUGGAAGGGCCAUCGCUCAACGGAUAAAAGGUACUCUGGGGAUAACAGGCUGAUACCGCCCAAGAGUUCAUAUCGACGGCGGUGUUUGGCACCUCGAUGUCGGCUCAUCUCAUCCUGGGGCUGAAGCAGGUCCCAAGGGUAUGGCUGUUCGCCAUUUAAAGAGGUACGCGAGCUGGGUUUAGAACGUCGUGAGACAGUUCGGUCCCUAUCUACCGUGGGCGUUGGAAAUUUGAGAGGAUCUGCUCCUAGUACGAGAGGACCAGAGUGGACGAACCUCUGGUGUUUCGGUUGUGACGCCAGUCGCAUUGCCGAGUAGCUAUGUUCGGAUGGGAUAACCGCUGAAAGCAUCUAAGCGGGAAGCCCACCUUAAGAUUAGAUUUCCCUAAAGAGCCGUUGUAGACUACGACGUUGAUAGGUUGGGUGUGGAAGCAUAGUGAUAUGUGUAGCUAACCAAUACUAAUUGCUCGUUUGGCUUGAGU